GUAAUUAAAUUCAUCAAGAUUUGGGUUUUUUCCUAUGGAUCUUUACAAAGCGAUGUAAGACUGAAGCCCCCAGUCCUGUGACACGUAUAUGAAUGAACCACUGCUGUGGCAGGGGGCCAUGGCACUUCACCAGCUGCGGCUGGAUCAAGACAGAAACCGCUAGAAAAUACUGAAUCUGAGAAUGCCUCCUUUCUGGAUGUACAUACGAGGCCUUUAUACUUUGGAGUGAUCACAGGACAGAAUUUUGCAACCAAAGUCUGGAUAACCCAAAUGGAGCCGAGAUGUGGAGCAGAGGCAGCAAGUGAGACCCCCAGAAACCCAGCCCCUGGGCCUGCUGGUAGCGGGCAAUACUUCAGCGUGAUCGCAGGGCAGCUUAUCAGCCCGGGACUCAUUUAUGCUGUUAGCAUCACCUUCCAUUCUAGCUCCAGUAAAUCAAUCUGCCUGUUAUUUUCAUUCUUGUUGUGAUUUCAUGUUAUGUUUUUAAAUACCUUUAGCAUGUUCUACCUCAUCCAUACCUUAACUGCACAUACACAACUUUCACUACUGCAUAAAGUAAUAAUUUUUCAAUUUCUUCCCCUACCAAAUGCAAGUUUUGUUGUUAUAAAACACCUUCCCCUCACAGAACAAGCAAAAAUACACCAAAAAAGACUACCCGUGCUCAUAAAUAGAACAACUGAUUGUUGUUAAUAAGGACUGUAUUUAUGUGCAACCUGUGCACUUUGUAUUUUGGACAUGAUGUCCCUGCAGGCUGAGGUAUACAUCCCACUCUCCUGCUUGCCUUGAUCCUAGAUGCACCCACUUCUCCCAGAAAAGAUGGUGUGACUUUGUCUGUGGGAUUUUGCUCUGAACCCUAAAUGAGCAUGUCACAACCCAAGGUCAGUGCAUGGUAUUUGGCUCACUGCUUUUAUCUGACUCAUUUUGCAAAUUUCUAAAUGGCUUUUUGAAAACGUUGUUUUACAGGAGGUUAGCUAGCCUUGUUGCACCUCCUUGACAAUGAAAAUUCCAUUAAAAGCCUGACUUAUUCCAUUUACAAGUGGUAAAAUUUUUAUUUCAUGAAGUCGUGUAUAUUUUCAAUGUAAGCAAACACAGCUAAAAUUUUUCUGACCAAAAACUUAUUGCUUCCUGAUACCUCUGUAGAACAAAAAGGCAUUAUCAAUGUAGUUGAUGUUUCUACAACAUAAUAAUAACAAAAAUUAGUCAGACUGACUUUGCUCAGAUUCACAGUAGCACUCUUUAUUGCUGUGCAGUUAA